rnacentral:rRNA from 1 species
GAUGAACGCUGGCGGCGUGCUUAACACAUGCAAGUCGAACGGAAAGGCCCUGAUUUUGUGGGGUGCUCGAGUGGCGAACGGGUGAGUAUCACGUGAGUAACCUGCCCUUGUAUUUGGGAUAAAUUCAGGAAACUGGGGCUAAUAUAGGAUAGGAGCUCCUGCUGCAUGGUGGGGGUUGGAAAGUGUCGGCGGUUGGGGCUGGACUGGCGGCUUAUCAGCUUGUUGGUGGGGUAGUGGAUUACCAAGGCUUCGACGGAUAGCCCGCAUUAGAGGGGAACCGGCCACAAUACUACUGAGAGACGCACCAGUCUCCUACGGGAGGCAGCAGUGGGAAGUAUGACACAGUGGGCGGACGUCUGAGACAACAGCGCCGCGUUCGUGAUGACGGCCUUCUGGUUGUGAACCGCUUUCGCCUGUGACGAAGCGUGAGUGACGGUAAUGAGUAAAGAAGCACCGGCUAACUACGUG